rnacentral:rRNA from 1 species
UACGUAGGGUCCGAGCGUUGUCCGGAAUUACUGGGCGUAAAGCGCACGCAGGCGGUUUGGUAAGUUUGACGUGAAAGCUCCCGGCUUAACUGGGAGAGGUCGUUGAAGACUGCCAGACUUGAGUUUAGGAGAGGGGUGCAGAAUUCCCGGUGUAGUGGUGGAAUGCGUAGAUAUCGGGAGGAAUACCAGUGGCGAAAGCGGCACCCUAGCCUUUGACUGACGCUCAUGUGCGAAAGCGUGGGGAGCGAACGGG